rnacentral:rRNA from 1 species
UACGUAGGGUGCAAGCGUUGUCCGGAAUUAUUGGGCGUAAAGGGCUGUAGGCGGUCCAUCGCGUCGGGAGUGAAAAGCUGGGGCUUAACCCCAGUCCUGCUUCCGAUACGGGUGGACUAGAGGUAGGUAGGGGAGAUCGGAAUCCUAGUGUAGCGGUGAAAUGCGCAGAUAUUAGGAGGAACACCGGUGGCGAAGGCGGAUCUCG